GCCCCUCCCCCGCCCCCGUGCUUUCCCCCACGCCAGCCUCUCUGCUGGAGUUGGCCCCACACCGGGAGCUGCCCGGAGGCCCUCGGUGCCUUCCUAGGCGACCCAACCAAAGGUCAUUCUAGCAGCAGCAGCCCCCAAGGGUUAAUGGCUUAUGAUUUGCCAACCAGAACCAUAAGGAGAGGUAUGUGGCUGAUGUGGCAUCACGCGGACUUCGUUCCCUGGAGACUGGAUGUUGUUGGGAUAAGAGCAAGGGACCGAUUGACUCAGUUAUGGUAUGUGCUCACACCGGAGUACUAUGCAGUUGUGAAAAAGAAUGAAGGCCAUCUCUAUGUGCUGCUGUGGAGAGAUUUCCAGCAUAUAUCGUUAAGAUGAACAAGCAGGAUGGAGAAACUAUGUAUUGUAUGCUCCUGUUUACCUGAGAAAAGAGAAAUAUUCAUCUCUGUAUGUGUGUAUAUUUGCUUAUGUAACAAAAAGCAGAAGAACAAAUCAUAACAUCAAAAGUAAAUAAAUUAAUAAAAUGUGGGAAUGGUGGAAAUGGGGAGAUGUUGAUCAAAGGAUGCAAACUUUUAGUUAUAAGAUGAAUAAGUUUUGGAGAUCUGAUAUUCAGAGGGCUGAUUAUAGCUAAUAAUACUGUA